rnacentral:lncRNA from 1 species
UAUGCCUUGUAAAACUUCGAACCCAGAAGAUCCCAAUUAUCUGCCAUAUCUUAGCUACUGCUGGUCUCAUGAUACUUGCUACGAAAAGCAUAAUGUUGGUACCACUAUAUAUCAAAAUCACCCACAGUAACUGGGAAACAUCCAUAAUGUCUGGACAUUUUGCUUUCUUUUCAUGUGUGGGCAUAUUUACUCCUUGAUUUUCACAUGCUUGUUUCAAAUAUUCCCCACAUUUCUUUUUACUUAAUACACGUCAGGGUCCCUUAACUUGCCUGAUAUUUCACAGGGAAAUUGCUGUCUCUAUUCCUUCCCCUCAGUUGAGAACCAUUGAGAAAAGGUCAUCUACAUGAUGUGUCUCUGAGGCCUCACCUCCUGCUACCUCUGCAGACCACCCCACACUCCAUCUGUCCUCACCAUUCUAUGGCUGCUCGCCUGAGAAUGUUUAACUGAAAAAAAUUCAACUUACAAGUGAAGAUUGUGCUGUAAAUGGAAAGUACAAACUGGAUUUGGGGAACCCAGUAAAAAAUAUGCUCUGGCUGCUGGAAAGCUGAGAAUGAGA